rnacentral:rRNA from 1 species
UACGGAGGGUGCGAGCGUUGUUCGGAAUCACUGGGCGUAAAGCGUGCGUAGGCGGUUUUGUAAGUCAGAAGUGAAAGACUAGGGCUUAACCCUAGAACUGCUUUUGAAACUACAUCACUAGAGUCCCGGAGGGGUAGAGUGAAUUCCGAGUGUAGAGGUGAAAUUCGCAGAUAUUCGGAAGAACACCAGUGGCGAAGGCGAUCUACUGGACGGGAACUGACGCUGAGGCACGAAAGCGUGGGGAGCAAACAGG